rnacentral:rRNA from 1 species
UACGUAGGUGGCAAGCGUUGUCCGGAUUUAUUGGGUUUAAAGGGUGCGUAGGUGGUCUAUUAAGUCAGUGCUGAAAUAUCCCGGCUUAACCGGGAGGGUGGCAUUGAUACUGAUGGACUUGAGUGGAGUUGAGGUAGGCGGAAUUGACGGUGUAGCGGUGAAAUGCUUAGAUAUCGUCAAGAACACCGAUAGCGAAGGCAGCUUACUAAGCUCUAACUGACACUGAUGCACGAAAGUGUGGGGAUCAAACAGG